UACGUAGGGGGGCUAGCGUUGUCCGGAAUCAUUGGGCGUAAAGAGCGUGUAGGCGGCUUGGUAAGUCCGCUGUGAAAGUCCAGGGCUCAACCCUGGAAUGCCGGUGGAAACUGUCAGGCUCGAGUCCGGAAGAGGCGAGUGGAAUUCCUGGUGUAGCGGUGAAAUGCGCAGAUAUCAGGAGGAACACCAAUGGCGAAGGCAGCUCGCUGGGACGGUACUGACGCUGAGACGCGAAAGCGUGGGGAGCAAACAGG
rnacentral:rRNA from 1 species